rnacentral:rRNA from 1 species
UGAGGAAUAUUGGUCAAUGGGCGAGAGCCUGAACCAGCCAAGUCGCGUGCAGGAUGAGGGCCUUCGGGUUGUAAACUGCUUUUGUACGGAACGAAAAGGUGCUCUCUAAUACAGGGCGCUCAUGACGGUACCGUAAGAAUAAGCACCGGCUAACUACGUGCCAGCAGCCGCGGUAAU